GACGAACGCUGGCGGCGUGCUUAACACAUGCAAGUCGAGCGAUGAAGUUCCUUCGGGGAUGGAUUAGCGGCGGACGGGUGAGUAACACGUGGGUAACCUGCCUCAUAGAGGGGAAUAGCCUUCCGAAAGGAAGAUUAAUACCGCAUAAGAUUGUAGUAUUGCAUGAUACAGCAAUUAAAGGAGCAAUCCGCUAUGAGAUGGACCCGCGUCGCAUUAGCUAGUUGGUGAGGUAACGGCUCACCAAGGCGACGAUGCGUAGCCGACCUGAGAGGGUGAUCGGCCACAUUGGGACUGAGACACGGCCCAGACUCCUACGGGAGGCAGCAGUGGGGAAUAUUGCACAAUGGGGGAAACCCUGAUGCAGCAACGCCGCGUGAGUGAUGACGGUCUUCGGAUUGUAAAGCUCUGUCUUCAGGGACGAUAAUGACGGUACCUGAGGAGGAAGCCACGGCUAACUACGUGCCAGCAGCCGCCGUAACAC
rnacentral:rRNA from 1 species